UAAAUCUAAUCCAUCUUCUCAAUCCUUUGAUGUGACGAUGAUGUACCAGAUGUUACGAAACCGUAAUCCAUGUCUGACACCACCGACUAAAGGCUGGGGGAAAACUCCAGAUACAGGUGAUACAAGCGAGACUGACGACGUAGAAAGAAUUCGAAUUUACAGAAAUCAAGUUGUGCAUGAACCAGAAGCAACACGAAAAUUAGAUAGAAAAGACUUAGAGGAAAAAGGAAGAGAUUUGAUGCAGGCCAUAGCGAGGUUAAGUAAGGGAGUGUUAAAACAAGAAAUGAUGAAUGCUUUGAAAAACGCAACAUAGGAAAGUGAGUACUCAACAUAGAUAGGAUUUCAGCGGAGCAAUCUGAAUGCUAUCACGU